UGUACAUGAGAAAAGCUCGUGAACAGAGAAAACCAGCACUGCGCACACAGAUCAUACAAGACAAUCGCUCACAGAAGCUGGUUUGUAAUGUUCUGAAAGAUCUCCGUUAAGGAGCAGCAGCGUGCCAUCUUUGAAGUGCUGACCAUGCCACGCAAGCAGAGAACAAGCUGGAAGAAAAUGGGUUGACUUACCGGAACUAAAUCGUGCCCAGUGUUCAGAGAAACAAGGGCUACAGAGCAGGGUACAGCUCACUGGGGUGCCCAGCCUGGAGGAGAAGACCUGGAUAAAGCAGGAGGCUGCUAAAAGCUGUCUGUUGUCCACCUAAUCCAAGC